AGUAGCUUUCACAUGURGUUUCCAGACUGAAGACAAGCAUUGGACAACAAAACUACUUUCUAAGUUAAAUUGAGACAUUGAGAUAUGAUGACUUCCCUUAAGUUGCUUUUGUUCUCGUGCAGUUUUCAUAUAAGUCUYUCAUGGGUCUCGAGUCUCGAGUGCAAAUACGAAUGCUGUCGAAACAAUGAAUGUGUUCAAAAGAACGAGACAAGGCAGUGCAACACGGAAGGCGCUCAAUGCUAUACAACAAGCUACGACGUCAUACAGACACCACUUCUAAACGCUGCGAAAAUGAGAGUGAAAUCUUGCUCCGAAACAAAACGUAUAUGUAACCAAGAGGAAUUUUGCAAGAAAAAAUCCAAGAUAUUUUCCAACGCAGGCUUUCCUAUCACAAACUGCGCUGUGAAAUGUUGCAAUACUGAUUUAUGCAAUGCAUAGCUACUGUGUCUAAAUAAUAACGAAGAACGAAUGCAGAGAUUUAUUAUAGUGAGUUUAUGAUAACAGCGGUAGUCAYGUGCUUAUUCUUGCAUGGAUGACUGACAGGAAGGCACCUGACAGCAAAGGACAAUUCSUUUUUCCUUGCUUAACAUUUCUGAUUUUCCAGACUUUUAAUGUAAUUUAUCUUCAUUGUUGAAGACAUUAUGUUACAUUAUAGUUUAUCUUUCUUAUAUUUCUCGUCAUAAUUGCUCGAUUUAUCUUUAUAGACAAGUUAUUCAGAAUUCAUGCAUUUCGGACCAACGGGGAAUCARGUGUCACAGAAUACUCCAUUUUACAGUUCCAAGCGCCAUCUUGAAAGGUAGCCGAGCCUUUGCAUCAAAGCGAGACAGUAAUUCAGCCUGCACUUAUAGAUACCUCAGUUUGUUCACAUCUAAGACAAUUAUUCACAGGUAUCUAUCAUUGAA